rnacentral:miRNA from 1 species
AGUGUGGCUUGCUUAGAGC